AUGGCGUCCACCAAAGUCCAGCGUAUCAUGACCCAGCCCAUCAACCUCAUCUUUCGGUUCCUCCAGAGCAAAGCGCGCAUCCAGAUCUGGCUUUUCGAGCAGAAGGAUAUGCGGAUCGAGGGUCGUAUCAUCGGCUUUGAUGAGUACAUGAACCUGGUUCUCGAGGAUGCUGAGGAAAUCAACAUUAAGAAGAACACCAGGAAAUCGUUGGGAAGGAUACUCUUGAAAGGCGACAACAUAACUCUGAUGAUGAACACUGGAAAGUGA
rnacentral:rRNA from 1 species